UUGAACGCUGGCGGAAUGCUUUACACAUGCAAGUCGAGCGGCAGCGCGGGGGCAACCCUGGCGGCGAGCGGCGAACGGGUGAGUAAUACAUCGGAACGUACCCAGUUGUGGGGGAUAGCCCGGCGAAAGCCGGAUUAAUACCGCAUAAGUCCUGAGGGAGAAAGCGGGGGACCGUAAGGCCUCGCGCGAUUGGAGCGGCCGAUGUUCGAUUAGCUAGUUGGUGGGGUAAAGGCCUACCAAGGCGACGAUCGAUAGCUGGUCUGAGAGGACGACCAGCCACACUGGAACUGAGACACGGUCCAGACUCCUACGGGAGGCAGCAGUGGGGAAUUUUGGACAAUGGGGGCAACCCUGAUCCAGCCAUUCCGCGUGAGUGAAGAAGGCCUUCGGGUUGUAAAGCUCUUUCAGACGGAAAGAAAUCGGGCGCGUGAAUAGCGUGCCUGGAUGACGGUACUGUCAGAAGAAGCACCGGCUAACUACGU
rnacentral:rRNA from 1 species